rnacentral:rRNA from 1 species
AGAGUUUGAUCCUGGCUCAGGAUGAACGCUAGCGGCAGGCUUAAUACAUGCAAGUCGUGGGGCAGCGCGGGUAGCAAUAUCUGGCGGCGACCGGCAAACGGGUGCGGAACACGUACGCAACCUUCCUUUAAGCGGGGGAUAGCCCAGGGAAACUUGGAUUAAUACCCCAUAGAAUCGUAGGAUGGCAUCAUCUAGCGAUU